rnacentral:lncRNA from 1 species
ACCACAUAACACCGAGAGUGAAAAUAAUUAGGCUUGUGCUUUCGCUUAAUUGGGUAGCUACUUGGAACGUGUAAGAGUCACGUGUGUCGAGUGCUAAUGUGUGUGCAUUGCGUUGCAGGACGCGAUGGCACCACCAAGGAGAGUUACGAGGUCUACACCGGCGGAGCUUCGGGAGGAGCCCGGGUAGUCGGGGUCGAACGAAGUACGCGAGUUGCGAGCCCAGGUAGCGGCUUUGGCCGGGGCUAUGCGACAGCAAGGGGAGCAGAUUGGACAGCUCCACGAGAUGAUGGCGCAACAGUCGGCGGCGACAUCAAUGCCGAGGGAUCCACCCCCACCGGCUGCUCCUGUAGCACCACCUCCUGCAGUGGCGGCGGCGCCAGUGACGAUGGUUCCUCCGACGGCAUCAGGUUCAUCGGCCCCUAUUCCCGAUGUGCUUGAG